rnacentral:lncRNA from 1 species
CAGAGCCUGGGGCCGGAUAGGAAAAAGCCCAGAGAAGUCAGGGGAUGGUCAGUCCCCUGAAGCUGCCCCUGGGGGUUCUUGAUCUUCUGAACUGAGUUCGAGGCAAGCCCUGGAGGGGCGAGGAGGAGAAAGAAACAGCUCUCUGGGCCAGGACCCGCUGUUCGUGGGAUGUCUGGGGAGCUGUGUGAACCCACAGGCCGUUUUGUUUCUCUCCAUCAGCAGCUGUGGGCUGAAGCGUGUACCGGCGGAGUGGGUUGAGAUCGUGUCUGCGCCCACUUGCCACCAGCUCCGGCCUCUGGGGAGGUGGUGCUGAGAGGGAGGGAGAGUGGCUCCUGUUUGGCUCCUGGAGACAGACAGCUGGGUGUCCCACCCUCAGAGUCCCCAGCCCCCUCUCCCCUCUGCUAACUCUGCCGGUGGAGCUCACGCCGCAGCUCAUGCCAACCCUGCCCUUCUGUUUUGCCUCUCAUGACUCUCCCCAAAUUCUGCCCCCAGGCCCCCAGCCAGCCUUCUUGCCACUUUCCUGCCCUUUACUCUUGCCCCUUCUACCUCUUGCCAGGGCAGCGUCACUGGCUACGUGAGGCCCAGCUUGGGGAUGCAUGGGGAGGUGUAAGAACAGCUGUGCCAUGAGCUGUCCUUCCGGGCCUCUGGGGCUGGAGAAACCCCGGGGUCAGCAGUACCACGGGUUUUGCUGGGGAUUGCACAGUGGGU